UACGUAGGGUGCAAGCGUUGUCCGGAAUUAUUGGGCGUAAAGAGCUCGUAGGCGGUUUGUCGCGUCUGCUGUGAAAACUCGGGGCUUAACCCCGGGCCUGCAGUGGGUACGGGCAGACUAGAGUGCGGUAGGGGAGACUGGAAUUCCUGGUGUAGCGGUGAAAUGCGCAGAUAUCAGGAGGAACACCGGUGGCGAAGGCGGGUCGCUGGGACGUUACUGACACUAAGGCGCGAAAGCGUGGGGAGCGAACGAGG
rnacentral:rRNA from 1 species